rnacentral:lncRNA from 1 species
GUGUGUGUGCAUGCAUGCGUGUGUGUGUGUGUGUGCAUGCGUGCGUGCGUGCGUGUGUGUGUGUGUGUGUGUGUGUGUGUGUGUGUGUGUGCCCGCAUUUGUUUUCUCUUUCUGAAACGAUCUCCCUCUGGAUGCCAGUCUGUCCUGGUCCUUGACACAGUCCUUCCUACUUAGUCUCCCCCAUGCCGGGACUCCAGGCAUGAAAGCACCCGGCUCAGCGCUUGGUGCUUUUCUUCUCUGGAUUUCCCCUGACUCCCGUCCCAUUUUGUUAAAGUGACCGACUCUCUGCAAAUGUCCGAGGAACAAAUACUUUUUGGUCAGUGAAGUGUGUGCACUGGGGUCGGGCUUGGAAGCACAUGAAGGUGAUGGGGGUUCUGUCUGUGAGCUCUUGGCUGUUGCAUUUCUCUCUACUUCCACCGGUUGGCUGCAGGGCUAGGGCAGGGCAGAGACCGGAAUAGAAGAGCUAAAUUUAUCCUGGGAGCCCGGGCGUGGCUGCGGCUCAGGCCGCGCGGCCUGGAUGGAGGCGGUGCUCGGUGGCCGCCCUCCCGGAGCUGGUUUCCUCCCUGGGAAAGCAGGUCUCUCCGCGGUGCUGAGGAGCUCGGGCUGGAAUUUCCCCGCAGCGCCGCCCCGCCGGGAGGGACCAGGAGGGAUCUACCCGAGCCCGAUGAGCAGCCCGGGGAGACGCCCGAAACCCAGAACCUGCGCGUUAAAACUGAAAACUUUCCUCCCUUCCACCAUGUCAGUCCCAGGGAUCGAACUUACGCGGUCAGGCACGGUGGUACUCACCAUGGAUGUUUUCCCAGGGGGUAUUCCUGGAAGAGAUUAAGCCUGGGGACUCAUUUCUUCUGGGGACAAUUCAAGGGAAGGUGAGAACAGGCCUCAUUGGGCCUGGUAUAACAGGGUUCUAAUCUCAGCUACCUUCAGGCUGACACUGGAAGCUAGAGAAUUCAAGACCUGCCUGGAAUACAGAGACCCUAGCACAAACCCGAAACCAAUAAAUAACAAAAUCUUCGCUUGAGGAGAUAAGAGGUAAAUGACGGGACAGAGCUAAGGACAAAGGACAGCAAACGGGAUGCCAGUGGUACAAGCGCUUCAUCUCACAGACAAACCCACCGGAGAUGUUUGCUUCCUUGUGGGAAUUCGGCCUGUGUCCCUCUCUUCCCACCAAGGCAGUCUCUAGGCAGAACAGAAGAAAUCACUUAAGUGAUUAAGUACUGAAGGAACCAAGGAGCUAGACGCCAUGGUCUAGAGAAAACUGGGUUGAAUCUUGCUUACAGCAGGAGUGUCUAAGAAGGCCUUGCUUGUCCAGUUCCUAUGAGGUGGUGGCACUGAGUGAGGCCAUUGGUGGGGCCUGAUGUAGAGCAGCUCACAUCCCUUUAGGACAAGGGCUGGCCUUAGCCGGGGCCCUCCCUCAGUUCACAAAGGAUGUGGGAGUUAGCCUGUGGGCAGGAGGGAAUCCAGCUGUGUGGGAACAGGAUGGGUGGGUGAGAGUAUUUAGCCUCAGGGAGCAAAUAGAAGAACCCAGAAGGGAGGGGACCCUAGCUAUGGCCUCUCCAAAGAGCUGACAAAGACUGAACUUUGGUGAAAUGAUCUUUCAUAAUAGCAUGUGGCUGUUUGGUGGUUUUUGUUUUGGUUUUUUGCUUUUUCAAGACAGGGUUUCUCUGUAGCUUUGGAGGCUGUCCUGGAACUAGCUCUUGUAGACCAGGCUGGUCUCGAACUCACAGAGAUCCACCUGCCUCUGCCUCCCGAGUGCUGGGAUUAAAGGCAUGUGCCACCAGCGCCUGGCUUGUGUUUGUUUUUUAAAGAUUUAUUUGUAUUGUAUGUGCAAAGAUGUUUUGCCUGUAUGUAUGUGUGAGGACAUCAGAUCCUCUGGAACUGGGGUUAUAGGCUGUGUGAGCUGCCAUGUGGGUGCUGGAAAAUGAACCCCGGGUCUCUUGAAGAUCAGCCAGAGCUCCUAACUGCUGAACCAUUUCUCCAGCCCUUGUGGGUUGGUUUGUUUUUGAGAUAGGGUCACUUUAAGUAACAAAUCUCUGGCUGUCCUGGGACUCACUUUGUAGACCAAGUCUGGCCUCGAACCUACAGAGAUCCUCUACACUUGCCUGAGUGUAUGGAUGAAGGCCACCACACCUUCUCUUUACUGUUUCGGAAAGAAAUCGAUCCAUAGGGUGCUGACGUAAUGAGGGUGGUGCAGAGACCAGCCGGUACCCACAGGGCUGACCCCUCCUACCCUGUACAGCGGGCACAGUUCCGGACUUCCUGACCUCCAGAUCAGGCCUCUGGAAGCAGCCUCCUACAGGCAGUUGGAAGGGCGUAAUCCCAGAAUUACCCCCUUUUCCCGGGCCAGGCAUCCACUUAAUCCAGGGCUCUUCCCUUUCAAAUUCACCUUCCUCAAACUGGUCCCCAGCCUGGAGGCUGCACUAUGAACCUCCCUAGAAAGCAAAAAGCCUUUAAAAUCCGGUAACUAGGGCAAUAGCAAGGACGGUAAGGUCACAGGCACCCACACUGAAUUCACCUUAGUGUGGGCAGGAUCGGGCCACGAAAGCAAUUCAGAGUACAGUAGGGACCGAAGGACCUUAUGCCUGCCCAAGGUUAAUGACAGGAGUCCGCCUUUACUGUCCACCCCAUCGCUCUAUGUCAGCUCUCUGUUUCCUGUCAUCCCGAGGGUCUCGGAGACCACGAGAGAGAUAUGCAUCCAGCCUGAGUGUGUCCAUCCCGUUUUCCACCCAUGAGCUGAGUCCGCACUGCGGACACACCACGGUCUCCCUGCCGUGACCUGUGAGCACGCGCAUUCCUCCACCUGGGACCCGCAGUUAUGCAGCAGCAGGUCGCUGGGCAUAACUGCCUUGCGGGCUGCCCCGCACUGCCCUUCCCUUCCCGGAGGCAGGUGCGUCCCCCGACCUCUGUGAGUCCUUGCAGCCUCCCCGAGGGACUUGUAGCGCGACUAGCGCCGUCGCGCAAUAUUGAGGCGCGCAGGUCACGGUGACCGCCAACUAUGCUCAAGCAUGGGGCUGAGGCCACAAGCCUUGGGGACAGGGGCGGGGGGCACGGAGCUAUGCAUCUGCAGAGCGCUCGGUUUUCGGAGAGGGGAGCUGAAGCUCGGAGGCGGCUCCUCCAUGCUCCAGUUGAGCGCUGGAAAAACCCGGCGCGCGGGCAGGCCAGGGACGGCGGGAACAAAGGCGGCCGGGGCCGGAUGCAGUCAUGGAAAAACCCAUCGGGGCGCCGGCGCGGGGGCGGCGCGCCUGGCAGCGGCCGCAGCAGCAGCAGCAUCUAGCCGGCCGUUCGGGCGGGCGGGGCCGCUCCCUGCCGGAACCACCACGAGCAAGGGGAGGUCCCGGGAGCGGGAAAAUGCGGGACGGGUCACUAGUCCCCGGAGUCGCCACGCUCCGGGUGCCUGCAAACACUGCGGGCUCGCGGUCGUGCACCCGCCUGGUGCAUGCGAAGUCUUGCACACGGCCCCUUGGCGGGUGGACCAAAGUGCAGCAGCGGGUCGGGUCGCAGCGACCACGUGGGGGGCGCGCACGGAGCCCACACUGGCUCGCACACGCACGCUCCGGUGUGCACACGAUGACUUCCACGCACGUGCGCCCAGACACGCGAGCUGCCCGCAACUCCCGGGGCAGAAGGAAGGAAACAGUCGGGCAGGAAGGGGAGGAAAUGAAAUAGAGGCUCGUUAGGGCGGGCCCCCAGGGCGAGACACUGGAACCUCAGAGGAGCGGGAGGCGGGGGUGGGGAGGCUUUGAAGAAGCCACUUUUAGGACGGCCCCCCACUUUACAGGUGCUGGCUCCGGGCCUCCCACGGCCGGACGUGCCCAGUUCCCGCCUCCGGGCCAGAGUUCCCUCUCGUGCCGGCCGCUGCCCAGCCUAGUCUCGUCUCGUCUAUUUGGCUGCAGAUCUGGAGAGGUGGCGCCCCGACUUUUUUUUUUUUUAAUUCCUGUAGAAACGGAAAGUAUUAGUGCUAGAUGGACCCAUUGACUCCCAAACCUUUUCCUGUUUGAUUCCCCCCCCCCCUCUUUAAUGAAGGAGGAACUGAGCUCGGUGGUGGGAGUUGGCACAGACUCAUCUUAGUUCAUAUAUGUUCCCAUGUUUACUUGUGCUGCUGCCUAUUACCGGGUGGGACAAAGCCUGGCCUGGGGAGCGUGCUCUGCGCACGGUGGGGGUGAACUGCUCAUGGCUACGGUGGCCUAGAGCCUACUUCUGGGAGCAGAAAAGCCCAGGCCCUCCCUCCCUGUGUCAAACAGCCGAUAUGGGUAGUGGGUGGAUGGGGGUGUGGCUCCGGGGAGGCAAAGGAUAAAAAAGCAGGAACCCAGGGCUUCAAAACUUUUAAUUAAAAAACAACUUGGGGUGGGGGGGUAGAGGCAGGCGGAUCUCUGAGUUCGAGGCCAGCCUGGUCUACCCAGUGAGUUUCAGUUCAGCCAGGGCGGUUACGAAGAGAAACUCUUGUCUCAAAACAAGAUAAUAACUGAGGUAGUGGCCGAAGUCUGUUAUCCCAGACCUCGGGAUGCCGGGACAUCAAGGGAUUCGAAGCCAGCCAGUUGGAGCCUAGCUUAAGGCUGCAGGAGACCCGUCUCAAAAACCCCACAAGCCCAACCCCUUUCAAACUAAUCAAACAACAAAGAAAAGGCAGUUGCUCUGAGGUCUGGCUGGGCGAGCACAGACUGGAAGACUGUCAUGGUUCAAUACCACAUAAAUAGGCAGGUGCCUACCCGAUCCCACCGGUUCCAGCGAGUUGGUAUUUGUUUGUGAUCUUUGAAACUGACCUUGGAAUCGGAUGGCUUAGCGUUGCCUCUCUCAAGCCUCUUGGUGUCACCUAAAGUUGUCGAGUCUCAAAUUACUCAUCAGUAAAAUGGGUCCAAGGUUUAUGGUACUGAAAGUAGCCAGUCUCCCUUCGGUCCUAUUUCACUUCUCAGUGGGGUAGGGACCAAUUUUUACUUCCAUAGCUCCUCCUUGGCCACUUCUUAAAAUCCCAGGGGCCUCUCUUAAAUUCUGAUUUCCUGUAAGAGGGAUGUGUGUUUGGCGAGGGAUUUCGGUGUGGUCUGUGGCAGGCAAGGUGGGGGAGUAGCGCCACCUGCUGGACAGAUAUAGUAGAGCCUACUCAGUCAGUGAAGACAGGCCAAGGCUAACCGAUGAGCGCCGAGGACCUCAGGCACCAGGCACCGCAGGGCUCCACUGGCCUUGUCCUUGGUGUCUUGGUUUCCUCUCAAGCGGGUCAAAAGAAUGCUGGUUCCCCACAGCAGAGUCUAUUCAGCCAUCCAACUCCUCAGCCUGUUCCAACUUCAACAAGCCUCUUUUGCUGUGGAGGAAUGAGCUAACUUGCUAUUUAUAGUGGACUUUAGAGUUUACAAGGUUGCUGCUUCUGGGCGGGACGUCAUUAAGAAGGGAUCAAUUUGCCGUGCUCUGGGGUGGGUUGGAUUCUACCGCCUCCAUCCAGCUGUGUAACCAAGGCAACGUUCAAAACAUUGAAUAACCAGUAGGACAGGCAUCAGCCAAUCAGAACAGAGUUUGCCGUAAUGGACAGGGACGCCCAAAUCUCUGUGUACCUGCUCAAAGUUCUGGACCAGCGUCAGCCUUAUUGAUUCUGGCUUCUCUCCUACUAAAUGGGGAUUUAGACGGUGUCAAGGUCUGGACUCUGCAGGUGUGGAGCAGUGCUGCCAUCUGUCCAGAAGAGGGCGCGAUCUGCAUUCUUCAGAACUGGAAGAACAAGAGCAGCAAGCCUGAGAAAUAAGGCUAUUCCUCCACCUGGAGUGGUGCAGUCUUUCAGUUCAAUAAUUAAAGAUGUAUUUUAAAA